rnacentral:lncRNA from 1 species
AUUGUUUUAAUUUAUCAGUUGGUAGUAAAAAUGAAAAUACAUUGUAUAUUGUAUAAAACAAUGAUUAAAGUUGAUUCAACUACUAUUCUAUACAAAGAAAGAUAACUCCAAUUGAAAAAAAAAAUUGCUAUUGCACAAUAUUGUGCAAUUUGAUAUUUCUUGCUGUUGUGCAAUACUGUGCAAUUGAAAAUUUCUUGCUAUUCCACAAUACUUAAUGUGAUAAUUUUGAAUUAGACACAGUUAGAUUUGGCAUAUCAAAGAACCCCAUUUAUUCAAUUUUUGAUGAAAUCAAACAAAGUUUUAUUUUGGACCCCGAUUUGGACCAACUUGAAAACUGCAUGGGCCAACAUUCAAAAAUCUAAGUAUAUUUUUAAAUUCAGCAUAUCAAAGAACCCAACCGAUUCAAUUUUUGUCAAUAUCAAACUAAGUUUAAUUUUGGACCCUUUGGACCUUAAUGUAGACCAAUUUGAAAACGGGACCAAAAAUUAAGAAUCUACAUACACAGUUAGAUUCGGCAUAUCAAAGAAUUUCAAUUAUUCAAUUUUUGAUGAAAUCAAACAAAGUUUAAUUUUGGACCCUUUGGGCCCCUUAUUCCUAAACUGUUGGGACCAAAACUCCCAAAAUCUAUACCAACCUUCUUUUUAAGGUCAUAAACCUUGUGUUCAAAUUUCAUAGAUUUCUAUUUACUUAUACUAAAGUUAUGGUGCGAAAACCAAGAAAAAUGCUUAUUUGGGUCCCUUUUUGGCCCCUAAUUCCUAAACUGUUGGGACCUAAACUCCCAAAAUCAAUACCAACCUUCCUUUUGUGGUCAUAAACAUUGUGUUUAAAUUUCAUUGAUUUCUAUUCACUUACACUAAAGAAAUUGUGCAAAAACCAAGAAUAAUGCUUAUUUGGGCCCUUUUUUGGCCCCUAAUUCCUAAACUGUUGAAAUCAAAACUCCCAUAAUCAAUACCAAUCUUUCUUUUGUGGUCAUAAACCUUGUGUCAAAAUUUCAUAGAUUUCUAUUAACUUUUACUAAAUUUAGAGUGCGAAAACUAAAAGUAUUCGGACGACGACGACGACGACGACGCCAACGUGAUAGCAAUAUACGACGAAAAUUUU